UUAUUGAUGAACCAUCCCUUUUUCAGCAUUCUCUGGUGAACUGCAGCUGCGGCCAAAUUUGAUUGUGUGAAUCAUCCUGCAGAUAUUUUUAAAUUUUGUGAACGAUUCUGCUGUGCUGCUUUCCUGCUCCGCCUGUGUAUGUCUCCGCCCGUGUUUUAUAGUGUUGCGUUCCUGUUGCGCCUUCGUGCGCGUUAUACUUUAGACACGUUGAAUUUUUUCGUAUGCUUCUGCUGUGCUGCGUUCCUGUUAAUAUGCAUAUUAUCGUUUAGAGUACAAAACCGCGUAUCGCCAUUAUGCAAAACCGCGUAACUGACAUUUUCUGCCAAAAA